rnacentral:rRNA from 1 species
UACGUAGGGUGCAAGCGUUACUCGGAAUUACUGGGCGUAAAGCGUGCGCAGGCGGCUUUGCAAGACAGAUGUGAAAUCCCCGGGCUCAACCUGGGAACUGCAUUUGUGACUGCAAGGCUGGAGUACGGCAGAGGGGGAUGGAAUUCCGCGUGUAGCAGUGAAAUGCGUAGAUAUGCGGAGGAACACCGAUGGCGAAGGCAAUCCCCUGGGCCUGUACUGACGCUCAUGCGCGACAGCGUGGGGGGCAAACAGG